AGAAUCAACGCUGGCGGCGUGCCUAACACAUGCAAGUCGCACGAGAAAGUGGAGCAAUCCAUGAGUACAGUGGCGCACGGGUGAGUAACACGUGAAUAAUCUACCUCCGAGUGGGAAUAACUUCGGGAAACCGAGGCUAAUACCGCAUAACACUUACGAGUCAAAGCAGCAAUGCGCUUGGAGAGGAGUUCGCGGCAGAUUAGCUAGUUGGUGGGGUAAUGGCCCACCAAGGCGAUGAUCUGUA
rnacentral:rRNA from 1 species